rnacentral:rRNA from 1 species
GACGAACGCUGGCGGCGUGCUUAACACAUGCAAGUCGAACGGAAAGGCCCUGCUUUUGUGGGGUGCUCGAGUGGCGAACGGGUGAGUAACACGUGAGUAACCUGCCCUUGACUUUGGGAUAACUUCAGGAAACUGGGGCUAAUACCGGAUAGGAGCUCCUGCUGCAUGGUGGGGGUUGGAAAGUUUCGGCGGUUGGGGAUGGACUCGCGGCUUAUCAGCUUGUUGGUGGGGUAGUGGCUUACCAAGGCUUUGACGGGUAGCCGGCCUGAGAGGGUGACCGGCCAAAUGGGAAUGGGGGAGGCGCCCAGACCCCUAAGGGGGGCAGGGGGGGGGAAAUUUGGAAGAGGGGGGGAGGCCUGAGGGAGGAACGCCGGGUGGGGGAAGACGGCCUUCGGGUUGGAAACACUUUUCCCCUGGACAGAAGCGGGGGGGAGGUAAAUGGGAAAAAAAGCACGGGUAAAUAAGUG